UACGAAGGGGGCUAGCGUUGCUCGGAAUUACUGGGCGUAAAGGGCGCGUAGGCGGACAGUUUAGUCAGAGGUGAAAGCCCAGGGCUCAACCCUGGAAUUGCCUUUGAUACUGGCUGUCUUGAGUACGGGAGAGGUGUGUGGAACUCCGAGUGUAGAGGUGAAAUUCGUAGAUAUUCGCAAGAACACCAGUGGCGAAGGCGGCCAACUGGUCCGGUACUGACGCUGAGGUGCGAAAGCGUGGGGAGCAAACAGG
rnacentral:rRNA from 1 species